rnacentral:rRNA from 1 species
AUUGAACGCUGGCGGCAUGCUUUACACAUGCAAGUCGAACGGCAGCACGGGUGCUUGCACCUGGUGGCGAGUGGCGAACGGGUGAGUAAUGCAUCGGAACGUGCCCAUGAGUGGGGGAUAGCCCGGCGAAAGCCGGAUUAAUACCGCAUACGCCCUUAGGGGGAAAGCGGGGGAUCUUCGGACCUCGCGCUAUUGGAGCGGCCGAUGUCGGAUUAGCUAGUAGGUGAGGUAAAGGCUCACCUAGGCGACGAUCCGUAGCUGGUCUGAGAGGAUGAUCAGCCACACUGGGACUGAGACACGGCCCAGACUCCUACGGGAGGCAGCAGUGGGGAAUUUUGGACAAUGGGCGCAAGCCUGAUCCAGCCAUGCCGCGUGAGUGAAGAAGGCCUCGGUU